AACAAACCGAUGACAGAGAGAAGUACUUUAUCUGUAACAUUAUAGAGAGCCGCUGAUGGUGGAAUAGCGGUAUGGAAGGAUAGACGAAUGGACUCUGGAGGGUGCUCAGAAAGAUUUAUUAAUCAAGUAUGCAGCAACGGGUUCUUCACCGUUAUCAGGAAGCACAUAUGCUGGUAUGUGAAAAGUGACCUUUAUUUUUAAAGGUAAUAUGAGUGGUACCACGGAUUUAAACAUUCGCCUCAUAC
rnacentral:ncRNA from 1 species